UACGUAGGGGGCUAGCGUUGUCCGGAAUCAUUGGGCGUAAAGAGCGCGUAGGCGGCCAGAUAAGUCCGGUGUGAAAGUCAAAGGCUCAACCUUUGAAUGCCGCUGGAAACUGUCUGGCUAGAGUCCGGAAGGGGCGAGUGGAAUUCCUGGUGUAGCGGUGAAAUGCGCAGAUAUCAGGAGGAACACCGGUGGCGAAGGCGGGUCUCUGGGCCGUAACUGACGCUGAGGAGCGAAAGCGUGGGGAGCGAACAGG
rnacentral:rRNA from 1 species